AACGCGAAGAACCUUACCUUGGCUUGACAUAUACGAGAACGGGCCAGAAAUGGUCAACUCUUUGGACACUCGUAUACAGGUGGUGCAUGGUUGUCGUCAGCUCGUGUCGUGAGAUGUUGGGUUAAGUCCCGCAACGAGCGCAACCCUUGUCUUAUGUUGCCAGCACGUAAUGGUGGGGACUCGUAAGAGACUGCCGGGGUCAACUCGGAGGAAGGUGGGGACGACGUCAAGUCAUCAUGCCCCUUAUGUCCAGGGCUUCACGCAUGCUACAAUGGCCGGUACAAAGGGCUGCGAACCUGCAAGGGUAAGCGAAUCCCAAAAAGCCGGUCUCAGUUCGGAUUGGGGUCUGCAACUCGACCCCAUGAAGUCGGAGUCGCUAGUAAUCGCAGAUCAGCAACGCUGCGGUGAAUACGUUCCCGGGCCUUGUACACACCG
rnacentral:rRNA from 1 species